CCUCAUCCAUCCAGACUGGUUAGUUUCUGAUGGUUCAACCGUCCAGAUAACGACGCUCCUCAUUUUGCCUUGAAUUCCAAGAAAGGAAGAGAAUAAGUUACUAGUACAAGAGAAAAACUUACUGUCUUCCAGCCAUCUGGAUCCAGAAAAGAGGUGAUCUUGGUGUUGAGUCCAGGAAUUGGUCCUGGUUGCCUAGUUAUCUUUCCUCCCAGCUCUUUGGUAACCAAGUUGACAACCUCAGCACUCUUGUAUACAUCAUCAGUACUGAUAGCAACCUAGAAUGGGUAUAACAUUUAUCAUUACUGGAAAAACAGAAGUGGGAAUGGACACAACUACAACAUGCAUCAGUGGGGAAAGCAGAAAAUGAAGAUAAAUAUGUUCAAGGUUUCCGAAAGAGAGGUACUGAACUAACCUGUGCAUAUGCGUUUCCUUUGGUAUACUCAGUGACACCAUAAUUGUAUGUCAACUCCAGAACAGUUGUUUCAUGUUCCUCUGCAUAUCCCAUCAUGGCUAUGGAGUACUGUAAAAUAUAUGCAGCUCAAGUGAAGGGAUUUCACAAGCCUCAAAAAUAACUAAUGUGCUUCCAAAGGAAUACUUUUACAUGAGAACACAUGAAGAAACGUUGUUUACCUUGUAUUCAGGUCUGUCGGUCUUCUUUACCAUCUUCAUCCCCAAGGCCUGCAUAAGGGGAAAAACAGAACGGGCAGAAACAUCAAAGGAUCAAAUGGCUAGAUGGAUUUGAUGAGAGAAAUUAUUCAGAUUAGGAUGGGAACAAAUUUAUAUGUGGGGGUGGUGGCUGUGUGUGUUUAUUCAGAUUAAGACAGGAACAAACAUAUAUUAUUACGAUGUGUGUUUGGGGGGGUGGGUGGUGUGGCUUUAAUCUUCAGCUUCAUCUGAUAAGUGGUUCCAUAAUGGAUUCAAGCAAACACAUGCCUUUCUCAACUUGCAGCAUAAUAUUGUCAAUGCUUCAUCUCUUUUCAUUCAAAGGUUACCAUGAGGACAGGCACCUGCUAACAAUGGGAGUCUUUCCUCCAUCUAGUAGGCUUUUUCCUUUUUCACAUCACAGGAUGACUAGUAUGUGAAGUAACUGCAGUAAAGAAUCAUUAGGGGCUAAAGCUUCAGAGGAUGAAUCUACACUCAGAGCUUCUAUUGGAGGAAUUUUCUUCACAGGAAAGAGGUAGGAAAAACAUUUUAUAACAAUUUUUUCUGAUAUAUGAAAGUAAAGUAUCCAUUUACUUUGAUAGAAAUUCUUUAGUAGCUGGACCCCUAUUUUGCUCGGCGCUUU